ensembl:lncRNA
CAGCAGCCGCCAGCCUCACCGUCUCUAGCGCAGAAACUCUCACGGAGAGAGAGACAGACUUACCUGAAAGCACGAAAAAUGGACCGAACCUACGCGGUGGAUACGGGUCACCGACCGGGUCUGAAGAAAUCACGGAUGUCGUGGCCGUCGUCUUUUCAGGGAUUUAGACGCUUUGACGUGGACAAUGGCACGUCGUCAGGACGGAGUCCCCUGGAUCCCAUGACGAGUCCGGGUUCGGGCCUGAUCCUUCAGGCUAACUUUGUGCACAGCCAGCGGAGGGAAUCCUUCCUCUACCGCUCCGACAGCGACUAUGACCUGUCGCCGAAGUCGAUGUCGCGAAACUCCUCCAUCGCCAGUGACAUUCAUGGAGAUGACCUCAUCGUCACGCCGUUUGCACAGGUCACCUCGGCUAGCCCGGUCAAACGCCUCAAAACUGACCAUCCCCUUCCCUGUCUCCCUCCAGAGGAGGCCUACCAGAAACUGGCCACCGAGACCCUGGAGGAGCUGGACUGGUGCCUGGACCAGCUGGAGACCCUGCAGACCCGACACUCCGUCAGCGAGAUGGCCUCCAACAAGUUCAAGCGGAUGUUGAACAGGGAGUUAACGCACCUGUCUGAGAUGAGCAGAUCUGGUAACCAGGUCUCAGAGUUCAUCUCCAACACAUUUUUAGACAAACAGCACGAUGUGGAAAUGCCCUCCCCGCAGACGCAGAAGGAGAAGGAGAAGAAGAAAAAGCCCAUGUGUCAGAUCAGCGGAGUGAAAAAACUCAUGCACAGCACCAGCCUCACCAAUUCCAACAUCCCUCGCUUCGGGGUCAAGACGGAUACGGAAGACUCCUUAGCCAAGGAACUGGAGGACAUAAACAAAUGGGGCCUUAAUGUUUUUAAAGUCACAGAGUUUUCAGGCAACAGGCCUUUAACGGUGAUGAUGCACACUAUAUUUCAGGUGAGACCGAUCACCUUUAUUUACUUUGCUCAUAAAUGUCUUGUGGUGCACAGUUACAUCAGAGAUAAUGUCUGCUCUCACUCACCGUACAUCCACAUGUUGUUCUUUCAGGCGGUUUUCACAGACCUUGAAAUUCUCGCUGCCAUUUUCGCCAGUGCUAUUCAUGAUGUGGACCACCCGGGUGUCUCCAACCAGUUCCUUAUUAACACCAACUCGGAGUUGGCCCUCAUGUACAACGACUCGUCGGUGCUGGAAAACCAUCAUCUGGCGGUGGGCUUCAAACUCCUGCAGGAGGAGAACUGUGACAUCUUCCAGAACCUGACCAAAAAACAGAGACAGUCGCUGCGCAAGAUGGUCAUCGACAUCGUCUUGGCGACUGAUAUGUCCAAACACAUGAACCUGCUGGCUGAUCUGAAGACCAUGGUCGAGACCAAGAAGGUCACCAGUUCUGGAGUCUUGCUCUUGGAUAACUACUCAGACAGGAUACAAGUGCUUCAGAACAUGGUUCACUGUGCGGAUCUCAGUAACCCCACCAAACCCCUGGAGCUGUACAAACAGUGGACGGACCGCAUCAUGGAGGAGUUCUUCAGUCAGGGCGACCGAGAGAGAGAGCGAGGGAUGGAGAUCAGCCCCAUGUGUGACAAACACAACGCCUCUGUAGAGAAGUCUCAGGUGGGCUUCAUUGACUACAUCGUGCACCCGCUGUGGGAGACGUGGGCCGACCUCGUACACCCGGACGCCCAGGACAUCCUGGACACGUUAGAGGACAACAGAGAGUGGUACCAGAGCACCAUCCCACAGAGCCCAUCGCCCGCUCCCGACCAGUCCGAGGAGGGCAGCCGCUCCACUGGAGCAGAUAAGUUCCAGUUUGAACUGACGCUGGAGGAGGACGGAGAAUCAGACACGGAGAAAGACAGCGGCAGCCAGGCUGAGGAGGAGGAGGAGGAGGAGGAGGAUGAAGAAGAGGAGGAGGAUGACAACAGCUGUAGUGAUUCCAAAACUCUGAUCACGCAGGACUCGGAAUCCACCGAGAUUCCAGAAGCGGAGGAGGGAAUUUCAGAGAUUUCCAGGGACCCCAGCAUGGUGGAGGAGGAGGAGGAAGAUGAGGAAGAUGAGGAGGAGCAGCCAGGAGACACGUAGCAGUGCGUCUGGACGGCCCGAAAUAGCUGCCGCGAUGACAGAAAAAACAACGCAUAUUUAAUAACAGACAAUGAAAUUGAGUUCCAAAGCGCACGUUGCACUCCGAGACCUCGGCCACUCCUCUCUCACUCUCUUUCUAUUUUCCGUCUCUCUACGAGCUGCCUGGAGACGAGAGGACACUAAGACUUCAGUAGGUUGUCGUUUUAUUUGCACUCAGGAAUAAUAUUUAGUCCUCUGUUUGUUCAAGCUUGGUUUUGUUUUCCUUCGCCCUCCUCCUCCUCCUCCUCCUCCUCCUCCUCCUCCUCCUCCUCUGUGGACAGUGACAGUGAGGAAAUUCCCCGCACAAAGCAAUCAGAGGAGACGCCAGCGGGGAUUCAAAGAGACCUUAUUUUCUACGUUUUAAGUCUUCCUAAACUUUUGACUGAGAAAAAUUUCACAAAAGACAAAAAAACAAACAGCCCAGAGCUGUCAUGGCCUCUUCGAUGAUUUUGUACGGUAUACAUACAGAUUUUUACAUAGUUACUUUUUAAAUAACAAAACAGCAGCUGUUGCGUUUUCAAGGAAACUUUGUGUGAAGGGUAACUUGCAAGUACGUGACGUGGGUCGUGCGUUCGCCACCAUAUUCACAUCACUGCUGUCCCACACCCUUCUUUCAGAAGCUGUAUUUACGUCUUUAUUGUCUUUUUUACUUCGUCAAACACUUAACCUCCAACGAGCCUCUUAAUACACCUACAGAUGCUUUAUGUGCGUUCAACUCAUUUCUGAUUUAUUUCUGCCUUGUUUUGGAGCAGUUAUUUCAGCAACACUGCACUUAAAGCCUGUAAUAUAUAUAUAUAUAUAUAUAUGUGUAACGUGUAAAAUAUAAUGUUAAAGUAUUAACAUUACAAGCACCACACUAAUAUUAAUACACGUUCAGUCUCAUAUAUAUAUAUAUAUAUAUAUAUAUAUAUACACAUGAUUUAUAUAUGUGUGUGUUAAUAUUAAUGCAAAUAAUAUGUAGUAUUAAAAUAUUCAUAUACAUUACAGGCAUCAAGUAACGUGUUACCAAACAUACACUUUAAAAGAACUUUAUUACUGACAUUAAUCAACAUUCAGAGACACAUUCAAACAUCCUGUUCAGGCUUUAUAACUCCAGGUCAAGCUUAACUUCUUUUACUGGCAUCAUCCUGUCAUGGGUGUAUCAGAUAUUCAAUCAUUUAUUUGCAGCACUUCCAUUAUAAAGACAUCUGGAGAUUUUUUUAUAGCGUGUGAGACUCUGAUUUUCUUUCCUUUUGCCUUGUUAAAUUUUCACCUGCAGGAUCUCACACGCCGAGCGCCUGAAACUAAAACCACAGACUCCCAAAAACCACAUCCAUCCUGUGCAUGUGUAUUCUACAAUCGUAGAGUAUUUGUCGUGCAAUGCCUUUCAAAAUCCCGUUUUCCCAUCCGUCACGAUUCAUUAGAUCAGAGAUCUUCUCUUAGGGCUAGAUGCAGUUUAGCGUCAAAAUCCACAUUUUCAUUUCACGCCGAAACUUCCCUCCCGCACCAGACACGCACUAUGUGACACGUGGCUUUUAAUAAGCACUUAUUUAUAUCCGUAUAUGGUUUUAAUUUAUUGUUUGGCUUCUGUUUGAAAGCAGUACUGUAGACCAUCACCUGUAGCAUAGAGCGUGUGGACUUGCAAGUUACUGGCCUCCUGUUUUUGGCCGUGUACAUAGAACAAACUUUUUAAAGUCUGUAGUUAAUAUAAUACGCUCACAGAAACUUGAAACCUGGCUCGAGUAGUACUGAUUUUGUUAUUUUUAUUUAUUUUUAUUUAGUUUGUGCCAUGAUAUUCUUUCCUCACCAGAUGACCUUACCUGAUUAUGGAUUUUUUGUUGUUGUUGUUAUUGUUGUUAUAUACAUAUAUAUUUUAUUUUUUUCCCCCGCUGUUUACAACGAUGUAUUUAUUUUGCUGUAUAUAUUGUAAUGUUUGUUGUAAAUGAUGACAGAUUCUAAACUUCAUCUCGGAUGGAGUUGCUGUAUUUGGUAAACUCUUGUUGAGAGAAUGUUUAUUAUUAUAAAUGCUAUCCAAUGUAAAAAACAAAAAAUGACGAUGAUAAUAAUAAUAUUCUGUAUAAAAACGAGAAGGUCACCUUCAAACGUGUGUUUCUGGAGAUCUGGGGAAAGCCAAACCAUUUGAGACGAGUCGCCACUGGCGUUUGGCCCCAGGGCUGUGCCUUAACUUAAAAACUCUUUGUUUGUGUCCAUUUGGUCUCUUUACGUGAUUCGGAGAAUGAUGUCUGCUGCCAGGGUAUCAGGGCAUCUUAUGCGCCGCAUUUAAAGCUAAAGCUUAGGAUGCCUUGAGUUACUUCUUUUCAUUUGUAGGUCCAAAAAAAAAAUGGCACAGCGGCUGCAAUAGUCCCGGGACGGUUCGGUUUGCCCUAGAGGUGCUUGGCUGCUUGUGAUCUUCUACUUUCAUGCUGUUCUUUAACUUCGUUCAGGUACCGUCUGCUACCUUCAUCUCAUCCAGCCUUGUAGAUGUGCUUGUGCACUAAACUGAACGAGUUCUUAGAGUUUCAGAUGCUAGAGAAGCAUACUUUCUGACACGCAUACUGUAGAUUUUAGCAGCCCUGGACCAAAGCCAAUCGAGGCUAUUAUUAUUAUUAUUAAUUACUGGUAUUCUUUCAAUGUCAUUAAAGGGAUACUUUAACAUUUGAUAAGUUCUGCUGAUUAAAAACUGGAACACUUCUUUCAGUCUCUUACAGUCUUUUGCCGGUACUGUAGAUCCAUCUCCUUUCGGUUUCAAGUCCAUAAACGACAAGGAAAAAGACAUUUUAUAUGCAACAAAUGAAAUAAAAGCAUGGGUUGAUUCCA